rnacentral:lncRNA from 1 species
UCAACCCUAAUUCCUAAUUUGACCAAAAAUAAACUCAUAUCCAUCACAUAUUUCACCUCCCUCUAUCUCUCGAUACGGCUCCACUCUCACAUCCAUCACAAAAUCUCGCCGUCGGUAGCAUUCCAGAACCGGAGAACCAAUACACACCACCGUGUAUGCAAGAAUCUCAAGCCCACCAUCUUUAAAUUGUGUCAUCUUCAUCGUACAUCUCUACAGUCUCUACCUCAACACCUCAUCUGUAUCGCCUAUCUCCGACCUCGCCUAGCCACCAUCAUCAGCCACAUCACUACAUCAGUCUAGCAAUUCUUAUCCUUCUGAAUCUGAUUCAAAGAUCCUUGAUAUUUCCAGUUUAUUGGUUAGUAAACUCUAUUUCUAGGGUUUUAGUGAAAAAUAUGAAUUUGGGUUUUUUUUUUUAAUGCAAUCGUUCAUUGUCUACUUAUGUUGCUGCUUAUUUAAAUUUUUUAGUUUUUCUAUUUUGAAUUUUUUUUACAUACCUUUGAAAUAAGCUUAGUAUUCAUUCAUCCCUUUUUAUGUUAGUGUUAGGGAAUUUGAGGAGGCAGUGCUUCAAGAUCUUUCUUGCCUUUUACCUUGAAUUAGCUGAAGGUAGUUGAUUAUUUUAUUUAUUUUAGUGAUAUUUGUUUUGGUUGAUGAUUGAGGGAUCUGGUGGUGAGUUUGUGGCUCCUCUCUUCCUAUUUAAUUUAGCUAGCUGUACCGAAAUAGUAAUUAAUUUAGAGAAAUUUGCAAACCUGAGUUUUUGGCUCCUCUCAGUUGGAUUAGAGAAAUUCUUUGGCUCUUAACUUAAGCGCUUAUUUGAAUUUAGCUGGUUGUGAACUUGAGUUUUUGAAAAAAACUUUUGAUUAGCAUAUCUUAGAAUAAGGUAAUGUUAUAUCUAAAGAAUAAGAAUACAAUUUGCAAACAGGGCUUUGUUCAACGAUAUUGCUCUGUGGUAAGUAGAGAGAUUUUGAAAUGGUGAUUCUUGAUUCUGAAACAUCACUGGCAGUUCUUGAUUCUCAAACGUCACUCAGUUCCUCACCGACAAUCUCAAAGGGUUAGUUCUCUUCUUUUUGUUACAUUGCUGCAAUGCUUCUAGAUUUUGUUUUAGAAUGAUGCAAUUGAUGUUCAUUUGUUGAAGAAUCAAGAGAAGGUGAAUCAAUUCUUCUUCGUUAUUGAUUUUAUUUUAUUUUUCUCAUAGCUAAAAUCAAAAUUAUUAUUUGCUUUUAGAUCCUUUGACGAUGGAUAAUAACCCUGAUAAAAAAUUCAGUCUCCUCUUACUGCACCAUUGGAGUGGUAAGCUCUUUAAAUUUCCAUUAUAAUCAAUCAAUAUUCUAUGCAUGAGAUAGAUUUGUUAAAGACAACAACUCCCAUUAAUUUGUUCAGUAAGACAUAAAUCUCACUCCAGUUGUAGAAACUUGAUGUCUCUCUUGCUUGGCAGAUGCAUCUUGCACUUAGUGCUACUUUCUUUGCGGGAAUUACUCAAUUUGCACUUUUGGACUUUUAAAGGUCUUUUUGGCAUCAAAGUAAGAUUUAAUAUUAGUGAAAGUAACUAAUGAUAUAAUGAUUAUGUGUCAUGGCAGAUUUAACCUUAGCAUUGCCUGUUGUGAAAGUAGAUCCACAUUUGAACGUUUUUGCAUUUGUAUCACUGUGUUUGUGAGCUGUUACCGAUCCGUCAUUAUAUCAAUAGUUAAAUUUACUUUGAAAUUGAAUGACCCUUUUUUGCUUAUGGCUGGUAUUAGCAGAGUGAAAUUGAACCUUACUCAUUUAUGGAUAUGGUAUAUAAUGGUUUAUAUCUUUUAAAUUAGGCCUGAAAAAAUUCUAUCAUUAUUAUUUACAUGUAUUAUUUGGUUACUGAUAGAUUAGAUGGUUUUGUCAACUAAUUUAUUCAUUUUUUAUGCCCACUUUAUAACUAACUAUAUCAUUGUACUUAGUUCGAUACUCGGUUCCUUUUCUGUAGUGUUGAGUUAGUUCUAUACCCGAUUCUUGUUGUUACCUUUCUUAUGGAAAUUUUUAUUAUUCAUAUUCAAGCAUAUAUACUGAGUAUUUAUUCAUAUUGGAUGUUUUAUGCAAUCCCAGGUAAGUAACUAAAUGCAUAACCUUAUGCUUAGAUUGUUAUCUGGUUCAUAUUGGAUGUAGAGUGAUGCACAAAUUUUCUCCACUGCUUAUUGCUAUCUGGUUCUAUUUUUGCAUUUGCUAGCAUCGCAUAUUAGCAUCAAAUUUUGGCCUCAUGUGUCUAAGUGGUUGAUAAGUAAAGUGGGCAUUUUUAUGUAAUUAAAUUUAUAUACAUCGAAUCAAGAAAUAAUGUAAUAUAAUAUAUUACUAUCCACGUUUACUCUUUUAAUUGAGAGUUACCCUUCCACUACUGAAAUAACGGACGUUAUAAAAAUGAGAAUUUUAGAACAAUGUCGUCCACUACUUAACGGAAAUUAUAAAGAUAUGGUGUUUUUGGGUGAUGUCCACUACUUAAGUAUCUAACUUAUUUUGAGAAGGACUUCCUAGAAAUUGAAUUAUAAGAAUACCUAACAAAUACUAGUGAAGACAUAAUUGCUACUCAAAGAGCCCAAGACUUCUAUACUGGGUGGUAAGUAAUUUGUGUAGUUAACUACCAUGACAUUUGUGUAUAUUGUUUUAAUUUAAUUUAGAAAGUGAAAAGAAGUUAAACUAACAAAAGCACAAAUUAGCUUUAAUUAUCUAUUCACCUCUUUGUUUGCAUGAUUCCCCUGUUAGCCAGUAUAUGUAGGGAUCAUUCUUUACUUUUGUAACACCCUGCAUAAAAAGGCUAUAGAAUGUACCAUAAACAUGCAAAAAGUUUAUGCUUUUCUUACAGGUUAAUGUUGUUUGUAUGAACAGGUUAGUGAUGCUAGCUAGUGCCUAAUCUAGAUCUAGUAAUGUAAACUUUUAUAAGUUUCUGGUUCCAAGCUAUGGCUUUUCAAGUUGACAACUUGAUGCAGCUUUUGAGAAUAUGAAGCAUGUUGGAAUAUGAUCCUCAACAAAAUUGUGCAUGUUGUUUCAAAGCCAGUGGUUCCUAGAUUCAUGAAGAGGCAAGGUAUUGAAAUAUGUCACUACAUAAUCUAAUUAUGCUUGUAAUGUGUAAACCCUACUAAUCCAUAUAUCACAAAUCCUAAUUUAAAUAUGAUCAUUUAUGUAAGAUUCAGUAUAUUGUAAUUUUAUUAAGUUUUUUAUUCUUGAUGGUUAUGUGUAUGUUGUAUUAAAGUAUGGCUGCAAGUUAUUUUUGAGAUUGAACAAGUUUGAACAUAGUCAAUUGACAUCGAUCAAUUUACUCUUGCUAGUAGUACCUUGUUAUUUUUAGUUUCUUACUAAAUAUUUUAUUACUCUAAUUGUGCAUUAUGACUUUUUGUGCUGGAUGUGUUAUUCCUAUAUUGUCGUAUUAGAUGCAAUAAUGG